UUUUUUUUUUUUUUUUGGUUCUUUUUUUCGGAGCUGGGGACCGAACCCAGGGCCUUGCGCUUCCUAGGUAAGCACUCUACCACUGAGCUAAAUCCCCAGCCCCGUUUUCCUGAACUCUUAACAAGGCUGCUUCUCACAUUUUCUGUUUGGUUUCCGAUGCUUCUCUUGGGGGAUGGGAGCAUAGAACAUUUAACGAUGUCACUCAACAACAAAGUAUUUGAAACAGCACCUUGGAAGAGUAGAAUGACCAUUGAAAGGGGAAAGACUGGCUGAGUUCAACAUCCAUUAAGCUUAAGAUGCUUACUGGCCAUCAAAUAGAGAUGCAAGUGGACAGAAGGACAGAGUCUCAAUGAAUCAACCCUGGGACAAUGUAGCACACAAGGUGAGGCAGAACCAGAAAGAAGAUGGAAGGCAUGACCAGAAGGGUGGGAGGGGAAACUGGGCACUAGCAUCCUGGACAUAGAUAAAGAUGCACUUCAUUUCAAAUUAAUUUUAUACUUAAACAGAACAGCUUUCAGGAGAUGGUCCUCUUCUACCUUGUGGGUUCUGAGGAUCAAACAGGCCAUCAAGCUUGAUGACUUUAACCAGCAGCUAAGCCAUCUCACCAGCCCUAGAGGAAUUUCUGCAGCCACAUCAAAUGCAAUGAUCCUUGGAAUUGACCC
rnacentral:lncRNA from 1 species